UCNGNNAGAUAGCCAGCAUGUCUAGUUUCAUGCCGCACUAAGGCGAAACCGCGAAUGGCUCAUUAAAUCAGUUAUGGUUCCUUGGAUCGUACCUCACUACUUGGAUAACUGUGGCAAUUCUAGAGCUAAUACAUGCAGCAGAGCUCCGACCCUCGUGGAACGAGCGCUUUUAUUAGACCAAAACCAAUCGGACCUCGCGUCCGUCCUCCGUGGUGACUCUGUGUAACUUUGGGCUGAUCGCACGGGCCCGUCCCGGCGACGUAUCUUUCAAGUGUCUGCCUUAUCAACUUUCGAUGGUAGGUUACGCGCCUACCAUGGUCGUAACGGGUAACGGGGAAUCAGGGUUCGAUUCCGGAGAGGGAGCCUGAGAAACGGCUACCACAUCCAAGGAAGGCAGCAGGCGCGCAAAUUACCCACUCCCGGAACGGGGAGGUAGUGACGAAAAAUAACAAUACGGGACUCUUUUGAGACCCCGUAAUUGGAAUGAGUACACUCUAAAUCCUUUAACGAGGAUCCAUUGGAGAGCAAGUCUGGUGCCAGCAGUCGCGGUAAUUCCAGCUCCAAUAGCGUAUAUUAAAGUUGUUGCGGUUAAAAAGCUCGUAGUUGGAUCUCAGUUCCAGACGGGUGGUCCGCCUACCGGUGGUCACUGCCCGUUCUGAACAGCCGGCCGGUUUCCCUCGAUGAUCUUCACCGGUUGUCUUGGGUGACCGGCAAGUUUACUUUGAAAAAAUUAGAGUGCUCAAAGCAGGCGCGACGCCUGAAUAAUGUUGCAUGGAAUAAUGGAAUAGGACCUCGGUUCUAUUUUGUUGGUUUUCGGAACACGAGGUAAUGAUUAAGAGGGACAGACGGGGGCAUUCGUAUUGCGACGCUAGAGGUGAAAUUCUUGGACCGUCGCAAGACGAACUACUGCGAGUUUUUUUUUCNCCAAAGAA
rnacentral:rRNA from 1 species